GUGAAAAAUGUCAUUUUAAAUUGUCGAAAUUCGGCAAUUUCAAUGCUUUUGAAGUAUCGGUCUUUUCUAAAUUUACGUGUUACACGCGUAAUAACACGUACGUACAUAAUGCGCGAAUUUGUUACGCCUGCAGGCAGCACAGUUUUUGUGCUACAUUUUUUCUCAGCACAAACCUUUUUUCGCACACUUUGUACCAGCACUCGGCGAGGCUAUCGCAUUUUCAUCCAAAGGGUUAACGCGCGCUUCACGCUUUUACAGUUAAUGUCUGUACGUGCCGCAAGUUUGAAGUGCUCUAAUUUCCAGCAAAUGUUCGCGGAUUUUUGGUUGUAAAUAGGUAACACGCGCGUGAAAAUUACAAAAAAAAAUCUGCCGCAAAAGUGAUAAUUUGUAAUUUAUUAUUAUGGCAAAUCAAUGAACUAAAUAUCUAGUGACGACCGGAGGAAGGUAUAUCAAAAUUGUAGAAGGGUUAAUUUUUGUCGUAAGCGUGAUUGUUGCACUUAGUUCCGGUUGAAAGUAUGGCAAAAGUCUGCUUAAUGUGUCGAAAUACAGUUAUUAUCAAGAAAAAACUCGGUGGUUGAGAGAUUUAAAGCUGGUGAAUCGAACAAGCUCGUGUAUUGCUGACUGCUGUUGGAGCUGAAAUAUGUUUUUAAGUGAAUGAAUUGCGGUUAACUGUGGCAAAGUGACACGUGACCAGCUUUGUUGUGUUAGCGGUGCUAUGGAUGAUAAAGGCAAGAGCAACUACAACAAAAUUAUAACAUCAAACAACAACAUGCAUGUGACCAGUAUAUUACAAAGCAAUAAGAGCGUAGCAUAAACGGGAUAUCGGCGACAACAUCGUAAGCUUUGAUGCCGAAAAGGCUGCAGCGAUAAAUCACACCGUCAACUGAGGCACAAGUGAAGCCUCGUUAAGUUGGUGAAGAGAGAGAAUCUUUAAACAUGCCUAGGUCUUUCGGCAAUGAGGGUAGUGGAUCCUUAAAUGUCGAAUUUUAUGGAGAAUUAACUUCGCGACUGAAGCGAAGACCUUUGAAAAUCGCACAAAUGCUCCCAACGAAAGAAAUUCUUUACAACCGGAAAUUAUAGAAAGUUAUUAGCCAUCCCAAGCAAAUUGAAACUCAUUUACUGGUGAAGCAAUAAACUUCAUAUAUUUAAUUUUCUUUGAAGUGUAAGCCAAUAAUCUCACACACUGCCCAGUGUCUUUGUUCAAUUAUCUUAAUAUUUGCUACAAUACACAAUAACAACAAUUACCAUAGCAAACACCUAUCAAUUAUGCACCAAAGCUGCUUUUAAUAUGGUUGUAAAAUGAAUAUUUGGCACAAUAAAAUUUAGACAAUACACCAGAGUACACGAAGGAGCUUUGCGAUAAAGUGCAUACCUACAACUACUAAGCGUCGUUUGGCUAUUAAA